rnacentral:lncRNA from 1 species
CACACAGGGAGUUGGGGAAAGUGCUAAUUCACUUGACUUUUAGUCCAAGGACCUCUCUUCUACAUAUUUUUGCCAGGUCACUGGAGGGCAUUUUCAAGAAUAAGUAAUGACCUGUGAAAUGUCACUGACAGCAGCAACAAUAACAACCCAAAGACAGCAAAGGGAAGGAGGGAGAAUGCUGGGGCUUGCAGUCUCCUGCCCGCCCCUGGACAGCCUCAGUGUGGCCAAGUAGAACUGAUCCUACAUUUCUGAGAAAAAUGCCACCCAGACUUCCUCCUCUCGUGUCACAUAGAUGUGAAGAUGGAGCAGAUGAUGUCCUCUGUGAAUGUGCAGAACUCGGCAAUUGCUUCAGAGGAAGGAAGGGUCUUCAUGAGGAGUCUUAAAUGCAACUGGAAGAAAUUCCAGAUGUUCAAAAUGACAGCCACUGGUCAUGACAGUGGUGUCUCUGAAACUCUGGUGCCACACGCCUCAUGUUUGGGAUGCCCCCAGAUGCUCUGCAAGGCCUUGAUCACACCAUCUGAAACACUUGCCUGGGUCAAACAAUUUGGUAAGUCAGGCCAGUCAACAAUAACUAGCCUGUUCUCACACAGCUCACCUGGCUAGUGAAAUUCUAGGUGGAUAAUAGGUGCUCCAUAAAAACUUAAGACUAAUUUAAUAAUGAUAUAUAAUAUUUGUUAAAGACUUACUAGAUCCCAGGCCCUUUCAUAUGUACAUUGCAUGUGUUGAUUAAUAAUACCCUCCCAACAGUCUAAUGAGAUAGUUAGCAUUAUUAUCACCAUGUUUAGAGGUGAAGAAAUGUAGCCUUUGAGAACCUAAGCAACUUGACCAAGGGUACACAGAAAUGGCAGGGCUGGGCAGACUCUAUGCCCAUUAAACCAUAUGCCAACAGCCCUACAAAUUUGAUUUAAAAGUAACAUACAUGGCGCUGGGGUGGCCAUGCAUGUUAAGUGUCAGGCUUUGGCUCAGGUCAUGAUCCCAGGGAUCAUGGGAUUCAGCCCUACAUUGUGAUCCCUGCUCUGUGGGGAGCCUGCUUCUCCCCUGCUUGUGCUCUCUGUUGUUCUCUGUCUCUCAAAUAAAUACAUAAGAUCUUUUUAAAAAAGUAACA